rnacentral:rRNA from 1 species
AUUGAACGCUGGCGGCAUGCUUUAUACAUGCAAGUCGAACGGCAACAGGCCGCCAGGUGCUGCUGAGUGGCGAACGGGUGAGUAAUGCAUCGGAACGCGUCCAGACGUGGGGGAUAACUGCUCGAAAGAGAAGCUAAUUCCGCAUACGACCUAUGGAUGAAAGCGGGGGACCGUAGGGCCUCGGGCGAUCGGAGCGGCCGAUGUCAGAUUAGGUAGGUGGUGGGGUAGAGGCUCACCAAGGCAACGAUCUGUAGCUGGACUGAGAGGACGAGCAGCCACACUGGAACUGAGAGAGGGGCAAGACUCCUACGGGGGGCAGCAGUGGGGAAUGUUGGGCAAUGGGCGCAAGCCUGAUCCAGCAAUUCCGCGUGCAGGAAGAAGGCCUUCGGGUUGUAAACUGCUUUUGUGCGGAACGAAAAGGAUCUGGUUAAUACCCGGGGCUAAUGACGGUACCGGAAGAAUAAGCACCGGCUAACUACGUG